UACGGGGGGGGCAAGCGUUGUUCGGAAUUACUGGGCGUAAAGGGCUCGUAGGUGGCCAACUAAGUCAGGCGUGAAAUCCCUCGGCUUAACCGGGGAACUGCGUCUGAUACUGGAUGGCUUGAGUUCGGGAGAGGGAUGCGGAAUUCCAGGUGUAGCGGUGAAAUUCGUAGAUAUUGGGAAGAACACCGGUGGCGAAGGCGGCUCUCUGGACCGAGACUGACGCUGAGGCGCGAAAGCGUGGGGAGCAAACAGG
rnacentral:rRNA from 1 species